rnacentral:rRNA from 1 species
AGAGUUUGAUCCUGGCUCAGGAUGAACGCUAGCGACAGGCUUAACACAUGCAAGUCGAGGGGCAGCGGGGAUGAGAGCUUGCUCUUAUCUGCCGGCGACCGGCGCACGGGUGAGUAACACGUAUGCAACCUGCCCACCGCAGGGGGAUAAGCAGAAGAAAUUCUGUCUAAUACCGCGUAACAUCAGGGAGAGACAUCUCUUCCUGAUCAAAGGAAGCAAUUCCGGCGGUGGAUGGGCAUGCGGCGCAUUAGCUGGUUGGCGGGGUAACGGCCCACCAAGGCGACGAUGCGUAGGGGUUCUGAGAGGAAGGUCCCCCACACUGGUACUGAGACACGGACCAGACUCCUACGGGAGGCAGCAGUGAGGAAUAUUGGUCAAUGGGCGAGAGCCUGAACCAGCCAAGUCGCGUGAGGGAAGACGGUCCUAUGGAUUGUAAACCUCUUUUGUCGGGGAGCAACGAAGGCACGUGUGCCUGAAGUGAGAUUACCCGAAGAAAAAGCAUCGGCUAACUCCGUGCCAGCAGCCGCGGUAAUACGGAGGAUGCGAGCGUUAUCCGGAUUUAUUGGGUUUAAAGGGUGCGUAGGCGGAUUUUUAAGUCAGCGGUAAAAUAGUGAGGCUCAACCUCAUCCCGCCGUUGAAACUGGAGAUCUUGAGUGGGCGAGAAGUAUGCGGAAUGCGUGGUGUAGCGGUGAAAUGCAUAGAUAUCACGC